UUCAAGAUAUUUUUUUUUUUUGAUUAUUUAACUUUUUUGUUAUCUUUAGGCCAAUUUGCACAGACUACAGCUGUAUCUACCUCUUGUACUACACCUGUAUCUACCUCUUGUGCUACACCUGUAUCUACCUCUUGUGCUACACCUGGUAAGUUAAACAACUAUUAGUUUUUAAUG
rnacentral:lncRNA from 1 species